rnacentral:misc_RNA from 1 species
UCCCAGUCAAAAACCAACACACCAUGACAGAGGAUUCUCAAUUUUUUAGGAGUUUUGAGACAAGUAUUGGAAGAAGCAAAUAAAAAACAAAUAUGAUGGAACAGCAUCUCUAGAUUUCUCCAAAUAUUUCUGGCUUAAUAAUAUAGCUACCAGUCUUGAACAAGCCUACACCAAUUUCUGCCUAUAAGUUUAUUGCCAGUGAAUCUCAAGAAUGACUUGCCCAGCUGCCAAAAUUAGCUCCAGACCAUCA